rnacentral:rRNA from 1 species
GUUGGCGGCGUGGAUUAGGCAUGCAAGUCGUUCGCUCCGCAAGGGGCGAGGCGCAAGGGUGAGUAAUGCGAAGGCAACCAACCCCAUGAAUGGGCAUAGCCGCGGGAAACUGCGGGUAAUUCCCAGCGAUGUUGAGGGUGGGCAUCCCCCAUCAACCAAAGCUCCGGCGUCGUGGGACGGACCUUCGUGGUAUCAGGUAGUUGGCGGGGUAAUGGCCCACCAAGCCGAUGACGCCUACCGGGCGUGCGAGCGUGGCCCGGCACACUGGGACUGAGACACUGCCCAGACUCCUACGGGAGGCUGCAGUCGAGAAUCUUCGGCAAUGGGCGCAAGCCUGACCGAGCGACGCCGCGUGGAGGACGAAGGCCUUCGGGUUGUAAACUCCUGUCGAGGGGGAAGAAGGCGCAAGCUUGACUGAUCCCUGGAGGAAGCACGGGCUAAGUUCGUGCCAGCAGCCGCGGUAAGACGAACCGUGCGAACGUUAUUCGGAAUCACUGGGCUUAAAGCGCGUGUAGGCGGCUUGGCACGUCUCUCGCUGAAAUCCCCUGGCUCAACCAGGGAAGUGGCGGGGAUACGACCAAGCUUGAGGGGGGUAGGGGGGACGGGAACUCACGGUGGAGCGGUGAAAUGCGUUGAGAUCGUGAGGAACGCCCGCGGCGAAAGCGCGUCCCUGGACCCCACCUGACGCUGAGACGCGAAAGCCAGGGGAGCGAACGGGAUUAGAUACCCCGGUAGUCCUGGCCGUAAACCAUGAGCACUGGGUA